UGAGUACGAGCUGCUACGGCAGCGAAGUGGGUGAUGUCAUGCUUCCAAGAAAAGCCCUAUACCCGUUAAGGCAUGAUGGCCUGUACCCGAAACCGACACAGGUGGGGUGGUAGAGAAUACCGAGGGGCGCGAGGUAACUCUCUCUAAGGAACUCGGCAAAAUGGCCCCGUAACUUCGGGAGAAGGGGUGCCACCGCAAGGUGGUCGCAGUGAAGAGGCCCAGGCGACUGUUUACCAAAAACACAGGUCUCCGCUAAGUCGCAAGACGAUGUAUGGGGGCUGACGCCUGCCCAGUGCCGGAAGGUUAAGGAAGCUGGUCAGCGUAAGCGAAGCUAGCGACUGAAGCCCCGGUGAACGGCGGCCGUAACAAUAACGGUCCUAAGGUAGCGAAAUUCCUUGUCGGGUAAGUUCCGACCCGCACAAAAGGCGUAACGAUCUGGGCGCUGUCUCGGAGAGAGGCUCGGCGAAAUAGAAUUGUCUGUGAAGAUGCGGACUACGUGCACCCGGACAGAAAGACCCUAUGAAGCUUUACUGUAGCUUGGUAUUGUGCUCGGGCUCGGAAUGCGCAGGAUAGGUGGGAGGCUAUGAACCAUUGCUUGUGGGUGAUGGUGAGCCACUGGUGAGAUACCACUCUUUCCGAGCUAGAGUUCUAACAGCUACCCGUUAUCCGGGGGCUGGACAGUAUCAGGUGGGCAGUUUGACUGGGGCGGUCGCCUCCUAAAAGGUAACGGAGGCGCGCAAAGGUUUGCUCAGGCUGGUUGGAAAUCAGCCGACGAGUGUAAAAGCAGAAGCAAGCUUGACUGUGAGACCUACAAGUCGAACAGGGAGGAAACUCGGCUUUAGUGAUCCGACGGUUCUGCGUGGAAGGGCCGUCGCUCAACGGAUAAAAGUUACUCUAAGGAUAACAGGCUGAUCUCCCCCAAGAGUUCACAUCGACGGGGAGGUUUGGCACCUCGAUGUCGGCUCAUCGCAACCUGGGGCUGAAGUCGGUCCCAAGGGUUGGGCUGUUCGCCCAUUAAAGCGGUACGCGAGCUGGGUUCAGAACGUCGUGAGACAGUUCGGUCCAUAUCCGGUGCAUGCGCAGGAAUAUUGAGAGGAUUUCUCCCUAGUACGAGAGGACCGGGAGGAACGCACCUCUGGUGUACCAGUUAUCGUGCCAACGGUAAACGCUGGGUAGCCAUGUGCGGAGAGGAUAACCGCUGAAAGCAUCUAAGUGGGAAGCCCACCUCAAGAUGAGUAUUCCCAUGGGGUAACCCAGUAAGGUCACGGGAAGAACACCCGUUGAUAGGCUCUACGUGGAAGCGCAGUAAUGUGUGAAGCGGAGGAGUACUAAUAGACCGAGGGCUUGAC
rnacentral:rRNA from 1 species